CAGUAGCCACGGUAAUACGGAGGGAGCUAGCGUUGUUCGGAAUUACUGGGCGUAAAGCGCACGUAGGCGGCUUUGUAAGUUAGAGGUGAAAGCCUGGAGCUCAACUCCAGAAUUGCCUUUAAGACUGCAUCGCUUGAAUCCAGGAGAGGUGAGUGGAAUUCCGAGUGUAGAGGUGAAAUUCGUAGAUAUUCGGAAGAACACCAGUGGCGAAGGCGGCUCACUGGACUGGUAUUGACGCUGAGGUGCGAAGCGUGGGGAGCAAACAGGAUUAGAGACCCCAGUAGUCCCUGUCUCUUAUACA
rnacentral:rRNA from 1 species